CCUAGCAUCGUGCAGCACACUCCCCUCCCUCUCCCUCUCCCCGACCCAUGCGGCGCCGCCUCCCUCUCCCCGACCCAGAUCUGACCCAGACCUCCCUCUCCGCCGUCCCAACUCCUACCCCGCCGCUGGCCUCCCCCCAAGCGCCGCUGCUCUUGACCUGCAACGACCUGAGCAGGAGCAGCAGCAACUUCCAACUCCGCUUCCCCUUGCUUUUGCCGCCUGCCUCCGAGCUCUUGCCUCUGCGGCUCUUCCGAAGCCACGGCCAAUAGAGCCACGAUAGGCUGAGCCUGCACCGGUGACGCCUCCGCCGCUCCGGCAAGUAUGCACUUGUGGUCUGGCCGCGCGCCGCUGCUUAGAUCGAGCGAGAGGCGAGGCAGCGCCGGAUCCAGAUUGAGCGCCGGAUCCAGGUCGAGCCACCGGAACAAGGGCCAUGGAACCGACAGCAGGCACGCCAUGGAGGAGAGGACGCCAUGGAGGGGAUGAAUUCCAGAAAUCGUGUGGUUCGAUUUUCGUCGGGGUUGGUUAAGUUCCAAUCCCGGGUCAAGGCCCCCUCCUCCUCCGCCCCCGGUAGAUCCCAGCGGCGCCCGUCGCAUCGCCUCCCUGACGUGGCUUGGCCUCUGUCCCGCCUGGUUUCGUGCCGUGCGGCCCCCGAUCUGGCCCCGCCGAGAGCCCAGAUCACGGGUCAGGUUUGAUGGAGGGUCAAGGACCGCACGCACAAUGGAGUAUCCAGAACACCCAGGCCAGCCACCGUGUGAGUAGGCAUCCUCUGUGGACGAUGACGACAACCAGGGCAUCCACCACCACGACAACGCUCUGCACAUGGUCCAACUCGACUACAACCUCCUCUACCGCGGGACGAAGACCGUGGCCAUGUGCGGCAUCGGCUAGAACCUCCUCUCAUGUGAGUUCGUCUCCUAGCUUCUAGCCCCCUCUCUUGUGUUGCUAUAGGAGUACCUUGCUCUGUUUCAUGUGCAUGGGUGAUUUUGUUUGUACUUUCCGUGCUUGUGUCAUGGAAAAGAUCAUUCCUAUUUACAAGUGAUGAUGAUUUGGAGUAGCACACUUGUUAAAUUCUGCUCUUGUAGUAGACCCCAUUUGUAGUUACUGUGAUGUGCAUUGACUCGUCCUCCUAGUACUGCAGAUCAUGCAUGUUAAUAAUUUAUAGUGGCCUUGUUAGUUACUACAGCUAGGCUGUGUUAACUGUUGGUGUUUAAUCUAGCUAGCUUGUUUGUACCAUCAGGAUUGCAGCAAAUUGCAUCUAGCUAGCCUGUUUGUACCAUCAGGAUUGCAUUUUUACUGUUUUACUCAACUUGUUUUUGUUGUUACUUGAUACGUACUACCUCUGUCCCAUAAUAAACCAUCAAAUGUACUCCUGGGAGGGAUAAACAUCUUUUUUAGAACAUGGGUUGAAGCAGACUGUAGUUGCUUACUGAGAAUAUGAAAAUGAGAUAUUCUGUUUGCUAAUAUGAAGAUAGCAUUGUGUUUAAUCCAGUACCGAUGAUUGUUUUCAUUCCCAUAUAAACUUGUUAAUGAUGGUGAUUUUGUACUAGCAUAUAAACUUGUUUUUGUUGUCACUUGAUACAUACUUAGCUCGUACUUGAAGUUGUGGGUUAAUGCUGGUAAUUUUGUUCUCUUCUAUGCAUUGGUACCCCCAUCAUCGAGCGCACAGAUGCAAUAGUGGAAAGAAGAUCAUGGUCAUGUGCAUCAUCAAGCACACCAUGGUGAGCAUCCACCUCCUCACAGUGGCAAGAAGAGCAGGUGCCUAGUUUGUAAUCGCUGUCAAAGGAGCUCCAUGCUGAAGAACAUAACACUUGUAGAGCUUGUAAAGUACCAUGUUAUUGAACGUGUGGAGCAUGUAACUGUGACUUCCACUAUUGUAUGUUAGAGUUAUUUGUACAGCUUGCUACACCUGCUGAAGAACAUAACACUUGUAGAGCUUGCAAAGUGUAUGUUAGAGUUAUUUGUACAACAGCAACUCUGUAUUGACUCUGGUGAUAAUAUUUGAAGUAUUUUGUGUGUUU